rnacentral:rRNA from 1 species
GCAUAACGCGAAGAACCUUACCAGGUCUUGACAUCCCUCUGAUCGUCCUAGAGAUAGGGCUUUCCUUCGGGACAGAGGAGACAGGUGGUGCAUGGUUGUCGUCAGCUCGUGUCGUGAGAUGUUGGGUUAAGUCCCGCAACGAGCGCAACCCUUGUCCUUAGUUGCCAGCAUUUAGUUGGGCACUCUAAGGAGACUGCCGUCGACAAGACGGAGGAAGGUGGGGAUGACGUCAAAUCAUCAUGCCCCUUAUGUCCUGGGCUACACACGUGCUACAAUGGAUGGUACAACGGGCUGCGAACUCGCGAGGUUGAGCCAAUCCCAUAAAACCAUUCUCAGUCCGGAUUGUAGGCUGCAACUCGCCUACAUGAAGCCGGAAUCGCUAGUAAUCGCGGAUCAGCAUGCCGCGGUGAAUACGUUCCCGGGUCUUGUACACACCG